rnacentral:rRNA from 1 species
CAAGGUAACGAUCCGUAGCUGGUCUGAGAGGACGAUCAGCCACACUGGGACUGAGAUACGGCCCAGACUCCUACGGGAGGCAGCAGUGGGGAAUAUUGGACAAUGGGGGAAACCCUGAUCCAGUCAUGCCGCGUGUGUGAAGAAGGCCUUAGGGUUGUAAAGCACUUUCAGCGAGGAAGAAAAAUUAUAAAAGAAUAAAUUAUAAGUAUGACGUUACUCGCAGAAGAAGCACCGGCUAACUCCGUGCCAGCAGCCGCGGUAAAACGGAGGGUGCAAGCGUUAAUCGGAAUUACUGGGCGUAAAGGGCAUGUAGGUGGUUUGUUAAGCCUUAUGUGAAAGCCCUAGGCUUAACCUAGGAAAUGGAUAAGGAACUGACAAGCUAGAGUGCAGUAGAGGAAGGUAGAAUUCCAGGUGUAGCGGUGAAAUGCGUAGAUAUCUGGAGGAAUACCAGUGGCGAAGGCGACCUUCUGGACUGACACUGACGCUGAGGUGCGAAAGCGUGGGUAGCAAACAGGAUUAGAUACCCUGGUAGUCCACGCUGUAAACGAUAUCAACUAGCCGUUGGGUUAUUAAAUAAUUUGGUGGCGUAGCUAACGCGAUAAGUUGAUCGCCUGGGGAGUACGGCCGCAAGGCUAAAACUCAAAUGAAUUGACGGGGGCCCGCACAAGCGGUGGAGCAUGUGGUUUAAUUCGAUGCAACGCGAAGAACCUUACCUACUCUUGACAUCCAAAGUACUUUCCAGAGAUGGAAGGGUGCCUUAGGGAACUUUGAGACAGGUGCUGCAUGGCUGUCGUCAGCUCGUGUUGUGAAAUGUUGGGUUAAGUCCCGUAACGAGCGCAACCCUUGUCCUUAUUUGCCAGCGCGUAAUGGUGGGAACUUUAAGGAGACUGCUGGUGAUAAACCGGAGGAAGGUGGGGACGACGUCAAGUCAUCAUGGCCCUUAAGAGUAGGGCUACACACGUGCUACAAUGGCAAA